CAAAGGUGGAGUCUUGCUUUGUGAUGUCAGCAGAUUGAUUGACAUCUUGGCAAGUCACACCCAUUUCAGGUACUAUGUGGGAUCACAGAGUGAGGGGAGAGGCACACUUAUAUCACACAGACCAAUCAGCGUGCAAUGCCAGACCUGUUCCCUUAUAGCUCCAAUAUGCAUAGUUCAUACACACAGCCUAUGGGUGGCUUGUGACAGCUGGGGAUGUGACUCUGGUUAAACAUCCUUGGGUUUAAUCCCUGGUACAAAAAAAAAAAAAGAAAAGAAAAGCGGGGGGAUGGACAUUAAAAUGGGCGUAGGCAUUGGAGGGCUGGGAAGUGGGUUUGGCUAGGACAGAGAUCCAAAGAGGGCAGUCCCCAGUCAGCUAGGGGGAAGCUGUGUAGCUGCAAAGUCCAGGAAACAGAGUGGAUAUUCUGCCCAGAAACUGCCUCUAAGGCAGGUACCAAGAGGAGCAAGGGACAGGGCUUCAAGCAGUGGGACCCAGCCAGGUUCCUGUGUGAGCCUUUUAGGAAUGGUGAGUUUCAGCUCAUCUGAGCUCAAGGAUAGCUCAAAGGAAUUUGAGGAGUUCUUAGGCAUUACGACUGGAAGAAAAACAGCAUGCAAAAGAUGAAUAUGUAUAACUGGCCCCAGACUUGCUCUGUUUCCCCUUAAUCUUUCUAGAGUCAUUCUGUAAUAUAUAAGUAGAUACAUCUGUAUAUUCUUUUUAAAAAAUUUUUAGUUGUAGAUGGACACAAUACUUUUAUUCAUUUAUUUUUAUGUGGUACUGAGGAUCAAACUCGGUGCCUCACACAUGAUUGAACCCAGCCACACUUUACCACUGAGCUACAUUUCAAUCUUUAUUAUUUAUUUCUCACUAAAUUGCUGAGGCUGGCUUCAAAUGUAUGAUCUUCCUUCUCAGCUGACUCCUUCCCGAGUGACUGGGAUUACAGGUAUGUGCCAUCAUGCCUAACUCCAAUUUUUUCUUUCACACAGACAACAAAGAUUACUUGCUCUUCUGCACUUUCCUUUAUCCCUCCCCCCAUCUUUCUGACCCCUACCCUCAGUACUGGCAACUGAACCUAGGGGCUCUCUACCACUAAGUUACAUCCCUAGCCCAUUUAGUUUUUGAGAAAGGGUCUCACUAGGGCUGGGGUUGUGGCUCAGCGGUAGAGUAUUACCUAGCACGGUGAGGACCUGGAUUUGAUCCUCAGCACCACAUAAAAAUAAAUAAAAUUAAUUAAAGAUAUUGUAUCCAUGGGGCUGGGGAUGUGGCUCAAGUGGUAGCGCGCUCGCCUGGCAUGCGUGCGGCCCGGGUUCGAUCCUCAGCACCACAUACAAAGAUGUUGUAUCCACCGAAAAACUAAAAAAUAAACAUUAAAAAAACUCUCUCUCUCUCCCCCCCCCCCUUUUAAAAAAAGAUAUUGUAUCCAACUACAACUAAAAUAUAAAAAGAAAGGGUCUCACUAAGUUGCCUGGGAUGGCCUCAAACUUACUUGCAAUCCUGUCUCGGCCUCCUAAGUAGCUCCCCCAAUCUAUUUUACGGGUUGUUAUGGAUCAACAUACUAAGUAUCUGUUCCUUUAAAUUGGUAAAGUGCUGAGUCAAAGGUGCUGGACAUUUGCAAUUUUGAGAGCUGUUUGGUCAAAUUGCCCUCCGUAGAUAUGACCUCAAUGUCUACUUUCACCAGCAAUAUAUAAGAAAAUAUGCUAUUCCAAAUCCUCUUUUAUGGCUGAACAAUAUUCUACUAUUCAGCAGAAGCAGUUUAUACUAGCCCAUCUGCCACUGAGGAUAUAGAGACAUGCCAAACUUUUAUAUAUGGAUAAUCCUCAGAAAAUGUAAUAAAGGCCAGAGGGACAGAGCCUACACUCCAGCAGUAUGGGCUGGCUCUGGCCCAGCCCUUGCCCUGACUGAUUCUAGUCCAACAGCAGCCAUAGUUGUUGAUAAUGUUUCUUUCCUAAAGACAUACACACAUGUGGGGUUGGGGUAUAGUUCAGUGGUAGAGUGUGUGCUUAGCAUGCAGAAGACCUGGGAUUCAAUCCCCAGCAUGCAUGUGUGCAUGUGUGUGUGCAUGCACACACACAUACACACACACAAAGAAUUUUUGAAAUUAAAGAUAUGUAGCAGGGGCUGGGAAUGUGGCUCAAGCCGUAAUGCUCUCGCCUAGUAUGCGCGGGGCGCUGGGUUCGAUCCUCAGCACCACAUAAAAAUAAAGACGUUGUGUCCACUGUAAACUGGAGAAAAAAAAAAAAAAAGACAUGUAGUUGGGCAUGGUGGCACACUCCUGUAAUCCCAGCUACUCAGGAGGCUUAGGCAGGAAGAGAACAGGUUCAAGGCCAACCUGAACAACUCAGCAAGAUCCUGUCUCAAAUUAAAAAAAAAAAAGAUUGAGGCUGCUGCUGGGUAGUAGAGCACUUGCCUGGAAUGUGCAAGACCCUGGUUUUAAUCCCUAACACUGCAAAAAAUAAUAAAUAGAUUAAGAAAUUAAUAAGCAAAUAACAGAUGCAUGGUUAAACAAAACAAGAACAAAAUACCUUACCCUGCUACAUUGCUCCUCCUUGACCCCUCCAUCCCAAUUCUCCUUCAUCUCAGGCCCCUACCCAGAACCUAAAGCACAAACUGGACUGGACUGGCACAUUCUGAGUUCCCCAGAAUUUGCCUUCCUUCCUCCUUGACUGCCCACACUGUUCCCUCUCCAGAAUUGCCUUCUCCUCUCCUCUGAUGAACUCCUACAGGCCUGUCUGUCCUCAGUUCCUGCCACCUCCCUCCAUGAGGAUUGGAAGUAGGACUGACUAUCCCAGAGCUUGGAAAAAGAACAAAAUAGGCAACAAAUUCAGCAACUCAAGGAGGAUUAAAGCUGGCCUGAAGAGACUGGCGGAACUGAAACUGGCCUGGAACACCUAGUUGGAAAGCUCCAGAUAAUCUGGUGAGUGCUAGGGAUACAGUGGUCAGAUCUAUAUAGACCUGGGCUGGGAAGAGGCUGGGCUGCAAUUGCCAGGAUGAGGCAAGGAGUCAAGGAUUGGGGUGGGAGAUGAGGCUUUGUCCAGUCUCCCCAACCUAGGGAAUCUUCCAAUCUACACUUCCGAUGAAAAAAUAACCAUGCUGCUGGGGACAUCAUUCAACAUAGAUCAGAUGAUGGUCAUGCUGUACCAGCCUCUCAAUGUUUACUGGGAUUAGUUAUUUAAAAUGAUGUCUCCCCAACAGGAAAUCCACCUCAGCCUUUAGGAAAAAGGCCAGAAUCUUGUUUCCCACCAGAACAAAGUUCAGCGAGGGACCUUGUAGACAUCAGACUGGCCUCCAGGGGGCAAUAGUGUCAACCCCAACAUUAGCUAUUGAAGUUCCUUAUUUUCUUAGCUAAAAAAGGACCUUCAGCCAGCACUGAAAAUCACACCAUGGAAAACACACAGCCACAAAAGCCCUAUGGGAUGGAGAAUGCCUGUAAUCCCAGAAACUGUAAAGGCUGAGGCAGGAGGAUGGCAAGUUCAAGGCCAGUCUUAGCAGCUUAGUGAGACCCUCAAAACUUAGCAAGACACUGUCUCAAAAAAGUUCUAAGGAUAAAUUCCCAUUAAUUUGGUCCUCAGUACCACAAAAAUGAAAUAAAAAUUAAAAAAGGACCUGCAUACCUCUUCUUGGAAACCCUAGGGUGAUAGAAGUAGGGAACGGGAAACUGACAGAAGGGAGUAAAGGUAAAGAAGUCCAGGACAAGCUUGCUGCAUGGUGGGGUGCUCUAGGACUGGAGGUGCCUAGGGAUUCAUCUUUCCCAAACUAUAUGCUGAUUCCUGUUACUGCUUCUCCAAUCUCAACCCCCACCCUAUUUUGGGGGUGUCUGCUGGAUCUGGAGUCUCUCAACUACCCCAGGUCACCUCACCACAUUUGGUACUGUAAAGGCUGCUAGAAUGCUGUUGCCUUUCUAAAAUGAAUCUUGGGGCAAGAUCAGGACAACAGGCUGCCCAAGGCUUAGAGCCUUCCUGGGUCCUCCUGGGCUCUCUAGUCCACAUGCACCAACCCCAAACUGGAGGACCCUUUAUGAGGCACUUUUCCUAGACUGCUUUUUUCUAUGAAGAUCUUGCAUCUUCUGCCCUUUGGGACAGCAAGAACCUUGAGCCCAGACCCCAGGGCCAAGAGUGUCAUGAUAAAAUUGCCCUAUAUCAGGGACUGUACUUGUACCAUGUCAGAAUGUCUCUUGAGGUUAUCAGCCUCCUCAGGCCCCCACUGUCUUGGCCCCACAGUUUAAUCACUGGCACCCCAAACUCAGCAGCCUGCACCCCACUUCCUGAGUACCCCCUAUGUUCCCUGCCUGGCUCUGCACCUGUGAGGAUGUCCUGACAGCAGUCCCAGAGGGAGGACACUACAAUUAUACCAUGUGUCCUAGGGAAGCUGGGGCAGAGGGGUUCACUGACUGCCAGUAUCACAGAGAGGAACCUGAAUUCUGCACUGGAGACCAUGCAGCCUUGGCAGGCCUCUACCCUACUACUCCCACACCUCCACAUUUUAGUCCAGCACAGCAGAACAAGCCUGACAGGGUUCAAGUCUUGGCUCUGCCAUGUUCCAGCUUUGUGGCCUUGGGGAGUCCCCAAGUUUUAGGGCUGGGAUGUGGCUCAGUAGUAGAGCACUUGCUUAGCAUGUAUAAGAACCUAAGUUCAAUCCCCAGCAUUGCCAAAACAACAAUAACAACAACAACAAAAAGGAACCUUAGUUUCCCCAUCUAUAAAAUGGAGAUGAUACAAAGAGAGCCUUCCUCUUGGGUUAUUGUGAAGGUUAAAAGAAUAAAUGCAUGUGUGGGCUGUGGCUGUGGCGCAGAGGUAGAGCGCUUGUCUUGCACAUGCGAGACCCUGGGUUCGAUACUCAGCACCACAUAAAAAUAAAUAAAGAUGUUGUGUCCACGGAAAACUAAAAAAGUAAAAAUAUUUUAAAAAAUCUAUCUUAAAAAAAUUUAAAGGGGCUGGGGAUGUAGUUCAAGUGGUAGCGCGCUUGCCUGGCAUGCGCAGAGCGCUGGGUUUGAUCCUCAGCAUCACAUAAAAAUAAAAUAAAGAUGUUGUAUCCACCGAAAACUAAAAAAAUAAAUAUUAAAAAAAAUUCUCUUCUCUCUAAAAAAAUAAAAAAUAAAAUAUAAAUAAAUAUUUUUUUAAAAAAGAAUAAAUGCAUGUGAAGUCAUAGCCAUGGUUAUUUAUGUGGUACGCUGUCUUUCUGGCUAGGGUUAGGGUGGUAUGGGGGUAGGGCAACAAGAUUGGCUAGUUGAAGGCCAAGGGCACCAGGCCCAAGCAGCCCAGUAAUAGGACCCCUCCUAUGGCACUGAAAAUCACACCAUGGAAAACACACAGCCACAAAAGAUUGGCCUGAGCCUAGUUACAUGGGCCCCACAUCACCUGCCCUGAAUGUGACCCAUGUAGGCCCUGGUUCUGCCACCAGGCAAGAUUCAGCAACCCUCCCCUGCAGCCACCUUCCCAUCUGUAAAAUGGGUUGGGAGGAACUGGAGGGCCAUGCUUGCCUCACAACAGAAUUGGUGGAUCCUGAUGUGUUCAGUGAUGGAUGUGACCUCACUUCCUUGGAAUGUAAGUUAUACAUUAAUGCAUUCCAAUGGUAACUAUGGCUGAGCAGGGUGGUCACAAGAUUCCUGAGAGUUCAAAGCCAGCCUCAGCAAUGGGGAGGCACUAAGCAACUCAGUGAGACCCUGUCUCUACAUGACAUACAAAAUAGUGCUGGGGAUGUGGCUCAGUGGUUGAGUGUCCCUGAGUUCAAUCCCUAUUACUUAAAAAAAAAAAAAAAGUAGCUAUGGUUCCAGUGUGCUGAGGGGACAAGUUUUACCUGACCACUUUACAGGGAUGGAUUAGAAGAGAUGGACAUAAUCAGAACAAUCCUAGCACCCAGGUGCUAGGAGCCAGAACAAGGUGGUCUGAUCAGGUCUAAAGAAGCUGGUCAGGGAGCACUUCCUGGAGGAGGGAGCACAAGGUGCACCAUGAUUUAUGGAGAACCAGGAAGUUCUGAAAUAAUGACAGGUGGAAAAAGACAAUGUAAUAAAAUAGCAUUUAAGACAGACUUGAGGUUGGGGUUGUGGCUCAGCGGUAGAGCGCACGCCUCACACGUGUGAGACUCUGGGUUCGAUCCUCACUCAGCACCACAUAAAAAUAAAUAAGUGAAAUAAAGAUAUUGUGUCCAAAUACAACUAAAAAAAAAAAAAACAACAUAAAUAUUUAAAAAAAAAAAAAAAAGACCUGGUAUGUGAUGUGUGGUGACGGGGUUGGAGGGAGUGAAGGGAACUGAGACUAAACUCCUCAAGCAGGUAAAGGUCUCCGAGCGAGCGGCUGAAAGCAUGAAUUGGGUUUUCUUUCUUGGGGAGGUGUCACCUAGAGGAUCAGCUUAGGGAGCCCACGGAUGGUUCGGAGACCCAGUGCCAGCGCGCGGCCCAGUUUGGCGUCACUCGGAGGUCCCAAGGAUCACCCGGGAUCCAGCCGCGGCCAGGGUAGUCCACGUGCAGGACUUAUGAGUCCCAUGAGCUUCUCCACGCCCGGAGACUUCCAUCGCGACUCCAAGGCCCCUAGCCUAACCCUUGACCCCUGGCGGUUCCCCACCUGCACCGCCCGCUUGGGCGGUGCUGGGCGCCGCGGGCUCCCCGGCCGCAGUGCCGCCGCAGCGCCGGCCCCGCCCCCGCCCGCUCCUCCC
rnacentral:lncRNA from 1 species